rnacentral:misc_RNA from 1 species
AAGUCGUAACAAGGUUUCCGUAGGUGAACCUGCGGAAGGAUCAUUAACACGUAUCCAAACGUUAAACCCCCUGUGAACCUUCACCCGUACUCGUACGUCCGUGAGAAAAAGCAGCAAUAAUCCCUGGUAAAUAAUCGCCGAUCAGUUUUCGAUUCAGGGACGUCUGCAAGGAGCGUGCAUGUUGUGCGAAGCAAGUGGCCUGGCAUCCCCAAGCAGUUAGUGUCUGAAAGCGUCAUUAACUGUGUAAGGAUGACGCAGUCACGAUCGUUGGAGGCCCACACGGCCGACGACCGGGUCACUGGGCGCAAGCCCCCCUAUAACAAACGCUGCUAAUCGCGGCCGCGAUAAUACGCAGUCGACCAAAAACCGAACAACUGUUAACAAUGGAUAUCUUGGUUCUC